GAAAGUAAAUUAAAUUAUCGCUGCUAACGAUAAUAAGAAUUAUGUUAAGUGGUUCUACUUUCU
rnacentral:tRNA from 1 species